rnacentral:rRNA from 1 species
CCUACGGGAGGCAGCAGUGGGGGAUAUUGCACAAUGGGGGAAACCCUGAUGCAGCGACGCCGCGUGGGCGAAGAAGUAUUUCGGUAUGUAAAGCCCUAUCAGCAGGGAAGAAGAAAUGACGGUACCUGAGUAAGAAGCACCGGCUAAAUACGUGCCAGCAGCCGCGGUAAUACGUAUGGUGCAAGCGUUAUCCGGAUUUACUGGGUGUAAAGGGAGCGCAGGCGGCACGGCAAGCCUGAUGUGAAAGCCCGCGGCCCAACCGCGGGACUGCAGUGGGAACUACCGGGCUGGAGUGCCGGAGAGGUAGGCGGAAUUCCUAGUGUAGCGGUGAAAUGCGUAGAUAUUAGGAGGAACACCAGUGGCGAAGGCGGCUUACUGGACUGUAACUGACGUUGAGGCUCGAAGGCGUGGGGAGCAAACAGGAUUAGAUACCCCUGUAGUC